GGACUUCCCUGGUGGCGCAGUGGUUAAGAAUCCACCUGCCAAUGCAGGGGACACAGGUUCGAGCCCUGGUCCAGGAAGAUCCCACAUGCCGCGGAGCAACUAACCCGUGCACCACAACUACUGAGCCUGCGCUCUAAAGCCCGUGAGCCACAACUACUGAGACCGUGAGCCACAACUACUGAAGCUCAUGCGCCUAGAGCCCGUGCUCUGCAACGAGAAGCCACUGCAAUAAGAAGCCCACACAGCACAACGAAGAGUAGCCCCCACUCGCCGUAACUAGAGAAAGCCAGCAACAAAGACCCAAGACAGACAAAAAUAAAUAAAUAAAUAAACAAAUUUAUUAAAAAAAAAAGAAAGUAUUUAUUCCAGUAACUCCUUAAAAGCGUACAAAAUUAUCAGUGCUAGAAGCAGUGGCCAAAACAGAAUUCAAGAUGCAGGACUGCAGAAGUAGAGAUAAUUCAUGAAUUUAAUAAUCAGUUUUCAAACUCAAAACUUGCUUUACUCAUAUAGAUUCAACCAAUCAGAUACCUUUUGAAAAUAAUUAAAGUUAAAUAAAUAUUUAUGGCCAACAGGAACAUGAAAAGAUGUUCAACAUCACUAAUUAUUAGGGAAAUGCAAAUCAAAACCACAAUAUCACUUCACACCUGUCAGAAUGACUAUUCUCAAACUGUGUUGACGAGGAUGUGAAGAAAAGGGAACCCUCCUGCAGUGCUGGUGGAAAUGUAAAUUGGUGUAGCAACUAUGGAAAACAGUAUGGAGAUUCCUCAAAAAAUUAAGAAUAGAACUACUAUAUGAUCUAGCUGUUCCCCUUGUGAGUAUUUAUCUGAAGAAUACAAAAACACUCAUUUGAAAAGAUACAUACACCUCUAUGGUCACUGUACCAUUAUUUACAAUAGCCAAGAUAUGGAAACCACCUAAAAGCCCAUCAAUGGAUUAAUGGAUAAAGAAUUUGUUAUAUAUUUGUUUGAAUAAAUGGUACUCAGCCAUAAAAAAAAAAAAAAGUCUUGCCAUUUGCGACAUGGAUGGAUGUAGGAGGUAUUCUGCUAAGUGAAAUAAGUCAGAUGGAGAAAGAUAAAUACCAAAUGAUUUUACUCAUGUGGAAUCUAAGAAAACAAAACAAAUGAACAAACAAAACAAAAACAGACUUA